AGAAGGAAGGCCCGAUGGGAUGGAAAACUACCUCCCUGCCCCGACCAACACCUGUGUGAGCAGGGCCCUGGACGCACGCUUCUCCCUGACCAUCUGAAUGGGAGCUUCAUUACAGACACCAUGACAUGUGUGCAGGGAUUGACCAGCAAGGACGAUGACCACAGCACGGCCACCACUGGAAGCCACCGGACAGCUGGACAAUGGUGUUACAAAAUAAAGCAGGGUUGGCCUCGGGUCCAUUAAUCAUUCUGUCUGGAGCCCAAGGAGAAGCGUCCAGGAGCAGGAGGAGGGCCAGAGCCGUGGGGCAGCGGUGAUGAAGGUGCCCUCCGCGGGGAGGCGGCCGGGGCCUGGAUGGAGAGGCCAUGUCCCACCUCGCUGCGCUGGCCACACCCUCCUGAGCGCUUCCUUCCCUUACUGUCCUGGGAAGUGAACGGGGCUGUUCUCUCCGAGUUCACAGAGACUGGAAAAGGACUGGAAUCCAGACACCAGAACUGAAGUGCGGGACUGCCCACCCUCCGCCUCCAAAUGGACACGUUCAAAGAGUGAAGGCAGAACGCGCUUCCUCUGGUGCUCUCCGUGCGUCCUGCACCCUCAACAGAAGCUGCUGGGCGCGAUGCCCCUCCCCGCCCUGUGGACAUCAGGCAAAGCCCAAGGCGAGUCCAGGACCCAGGGAAAGCCACACCAAGACACAGCAGAAAUGCUACAGUCAGCCCCAGGGAGUUAAAGUCUAACAGAUACAAGAAGGGUCCUCUGAGGACCCUGCAGCAGAGAGGCCACUGUCCCUGUGUCCCAUCUUUCUGAUGGCACACACCAGUGUGAACUAAGGUCAGGGAUCAAUGAAAGGCCACCUGGUGGCUGGGGACCCACACACCUUGUUAAUAUGCCUAAAAUAAAUCUGGGCCUGGGAGUUGUGUCUGCGGGAAUUAAUCGCCCCUGCUAGACACAGGACUUGUCCCAGUGGGUCAAGGUCCUCACCCAGGGAAGUGGGGAAGGGUGAACCCUGAACAGAGUCAGGUCUUCAGCUCUCCAUGGCCUCAGUCUCCUCCCUUAGCAGUGUAGCCUUCCUCCAAGAAGAUGGCAUUCAUGGUUCACCCUGCACAGCAGACAGAUCAACCUGAGUAUCCACUUGUAUUUCAUGGAAAUUCUACAUAACAUGGGAACCUUCCAAUCUGAAGCCCCAG